rnacentral:lncRNA from 1 species
CAUGUGCAACAACUCAAAUGCCUUGCAUGUACUCAUGAUGCUUUUCUUUGGAUGAGUGUUGCCAACUUGCUUUCCGGCUUGACAUGCACUACAAAGCUUGUCUUUCUCAAAUGUGACAUCUUUCAAUCCUCUAACAAGAUCAUGCUUGACUAACUUGUUUAAUUGUUUCAUUCCAACAUGACCAAGCCUUCUAUGCCAUAACCAACCCAUGCU